CAGUCUCAUUCCCAGGCUGUU
rnacentral:misc_RNA from 1 species